rnacentral:tRNA from 1 species
AAAGCUUUAAGUUAAAAACAAAACUAUUAACCUUCAAAGUUAAAAAUAUUUAAAUAAUUUAAGCUUUA